UACGUAGGGAGCGAGCGUUGUCCGGAAUUACUGGGUGUUAAGGGUGCGUAGGCGGCAAGACAAGUCAGACGUGAGAGGCAUAGGCUCAACCUGUGGACUGCGUUUGAAACUGUUAUGCUUGAGUGGAGUAGAGGCAAGCGGAAUUCCCAGUGUAGCGGUGAAAUGCGUAGAGAUUGGGAGGAACACCAGUGGCAAAGGCGGCUUGCUGGGCUCUAACUGACGCUGAGGCACGAAAGUAUGGGGAGCAAAC
rnacentral:rRNA from 1 species